rnacentral:rRNA from 1 species
CCUACGGGUGGCAGCAGUGAGGAAUAUUGGUCAAUGGCCGUGAGCCUGAACCAGCCAAGUAGCGUGAAGGAUGACUGCCCUAUGGGUUGUAAACUUCUUUUAUAAAGGAAUAAAGUGAUGCACGUGUGCCUUUUUGCAUGUACCUCAUGAAUAAGGAUCGGCUAACUCCGUGCCAGCAGCCGCGGUAAUACGGAGGAUCCGAGCGUUAUCCGGAUUUAUUGGGUUUAAAGGGAGCGUAGAUGGGUUGUUAAGUCAGUUGUGAAAGUCUGCGGCUCAACCGUAAAAUUGCAAUUGAUACUGGCAGUCUUGAGUACGGUUGAGGUAGGCGGAAUUCGUUGUGUAGCGGUGAAAUGCUUAGAUAUCACGAAGAACUCCGAUUGCGAAGGCAGCUUACUAAACUGCCACUGACAUUGAUGCUCGAAAGUGUGGGUAUCAAACAGGAUUAGAUACCCUAGUAGUC